rnacentral:tRNA from 1 species
CACUGUAUAGCUACCACAGCAUUAACCUUUUAAGUUAAAGAUGGGAAAAUACUUUUCUCUGCAGUGA